AAUUGGAUUUUUUCCUGGAGUGGUUCGGAUUAGUUUUUGAUUCCGCAUCGUUAGAAGUGUCUGUGAGGAUUCCGAAAAUACCUCCAGAAUUUCGCCGAGUGUUAUGAAACGACGAUCAGUGUCAGUGGUUGGACAACUGAGUGGACCCGGCUCUCAGAGGUGACUACCAUUACAAACCAGUUGGGCCAGCUGCUGCUUAUAAUGGGUUCAGAGACUCCUUUCCAGGACCUCGACAUAAGUAUUCCUAGGGAGGCUGAGUAUUGUGAUAUCAAAACAAUGAGAGCACUCCCUUUUUAAAGAUGGGAACAGCUACUCCCAUCUGCCGGUUCACGCCACACUGAAGAGGUGUGACAACUAAGGCAGCCCAACAAUGGAGCCUCCCUCAUCUCAGGUUCGGCCUCCCCUCCCUCCCCUGCCAUUCUCCUCAUGGUCCGUAUAUCGCCCUCCUGCUGUUGCUGUUGUUUGGUGGGGGCCAG